CCACUUUCUUUUAUAAUUAAACUUCUUGUAAGUAGCUACUACAUAUGUAAUUCAAAAAUACAAAUUAAUUUAACGAGUUUUGCAAUUCUUUCACAGGCUGCGCGGAGUAACACUAAAGGAUUUAAACGUUUAAUUCCCCUAUCUCAUGAGGUAGCAAAACUUUUCUCGUGGAAGGGAACUGGUACCAAAAGCAGCGCUAUUGGUUUGGCAACGACUGCGGCAAUAAGAAGUGCUUUUCGUCAAAAAUUUAACUCCCACGAAGAAGUUUUUAUUUCCGUUUCAAAGAAGCACUUCCAAUAUGAACACGACCGGCAAAAAAAAU